UGAAGACUUCGGUCGUAAACUCCUUUCGAUCGAGACGAAUGGCCUCCGGGUGAAUAGCCCGGGGAGUGACGGUACCGAGGGAAGAAGCCCGGCUAACUCCGUGC
rnacentral:rRNA from 1 species